rnacentral:rRNA from 1 species
GAAUAUUAGUCAAUGAUCGAAAGAUUGAUCUAGUUACUUAGAAAGAUGAAGAUUAUAAUAAUAAUAAUAAAAAAUAAUAAUGAAGAAUAUAAAAUCAAUAUAUAUAUAAAAGAAUAAUGAUGAAAAUAUAUAUAGAAGUCUUAACCAAAAUUAGUGCCAGCAGUUGCGGCUAAACUAAGGAGGCAAACGUUAAUCAUUAAUGGCUUAAAGGAUCCGUAGAAUGAUAUGUAAUUAAUACAUAUUAGAGUUAAAUAAAAUAAUUAUGAAAAAUUAUAUUGAGAGAUGAAAUGUGUGGAAAAUAAUUAGACAAAUAAACGUGAAAAUAAAAUUAUAAAAUUUAACUGACAUUGAGGGAUGAAGGCAUGAGUAGCAAAACGGAUUAGAUACCCGAGUAGUUCAUGCAGUAAACGAUGAAUACUUCGAAAGAAAAGCGAAAGCUAAAGUAUUCCGCCAGGAGAGUAUAGCUUCAAAGUUGAAAUCCAAGACAAUAGACGGUUACAGUUGUAGGCAGUGGAUUGUGUUAUUUAAU